AAUUUUUAUUCAAAAUUGUAGCGCGCAGCGUGAAAAAUUUUUUGGAGAGUUUGAUCCUGGCUCAGGACGAACGCUGGCGGUAUGCUUAACACAUGCAAGUCGUACGAGAUAAAAAAUUAUAUAUCCUCUUUGCGGAGUGAGAUAUAAGAUUUUAUUCUAGUGGCGGACGGGUGCGUAACGCGUAAGAACUUACCUUUUGGUGUGGGAUAACAGCUGGAAACGGCUGCUAAUACCGCAUAGUGCUGAGAAGCUAAAAGUGAAAACUGCCAAGAGAGAGGCUUGCGUCUGAUUAGCUAGUUGGCGGAGGUAAAGGCUCCCCAAGGCGACGAUCAGUAGCUGGUCUGAGAGGAUGAUCAGCCACACUGGGACUGAGACACGGCCCAGACUCCUACGGGAGGCAGCAGUGAGGAAUUUUCCACAAUGGGCGAAAGCCUGAUGGAGCAAUACCGCGUGGAGGAAGACGGAUCGUGGUCUGUAAACUCCUUUUCUCAGAGAAGACACCCGACGGUAUCUGAGGAAUAAGCACCGGCUAACUCUGUGCCAGCAGCCGCGGUAAUACAGGGGGUGCAAGCGUUGUCCGGAAUGAUUGGGCGUAAAGCGUUCGUAGGUGGCUCUUAAAGUCUACUGUCAAAUCCCAGAGCUUAACUUUGGACCGGCAGUAGAGAACUCAAGAGCUAGAGGACGGUAGGGGUAGAGGGAAUUCCUAGUUAAGCGGUGAAAUGCACAGAGAUUAGGAAGAACACCGGUGGCGAAAGCGCUCUACUAGGCCGUUGCUGACACUGAGGGACGACAGCUGUGGGAGCGAAAAGGAUUAGAUACCCUUGUAGUCACAGCCGUAAACGAUGGAUACUAAGUGCUGUCAAAAACAGUGCUGUAGCUUACGCGUUAAGUAUCCCGCCUGGGGAGUAUGCUCGCAAGAGUGAAACUCAAAGGAAUUGACGGGUCUUAGCACAAGUGGUGGAUUCUGUGGUUUAAUUUGAUGCUACGCGGAGAACCUUACCAGGGUUUGACAUCCCGAGAAGAAUCUAGAAAUAGAUUUGUGCUCCUUUUAUAAAGGAGAGCUUGGUGACAGGUGGUGCAUGGCUGUCGUCAGCUCGUGCGGUGACGUGUCGAGUUAAGUCUUUUAACGAGCGCAACCCUUGUCUUUAGUUGCCCGCUUUGCGGAAAUCUAAAGAGACUGCCGGAGCAAUUCGGAGGAAGGAGAGGAUGACGUCAAGUCAGCAUGCCCCUUACAUCCUGGGCUACACACGUAAUACAAUGGUUGAGACAAUCGGCAGCAAACCCGUGAGGGGGAGCGAAUCUGGCAAACUCAAUCUCAGUUCGGAUUGUAGGCUGCAACUCGCCUACAUGAAGUUGGAAUCACUAGUAAUCGCCGGUCAGCUAUACGGCGGUGAAUACGUUCCCUAAGAUUGUACACACCGCCCGUCAAAGGUCGAGAGCAGAUUGAACCCGAAGUGGCUUACCCUAACAGAAAUGAAGGGGGUUCCAACGGUUUGGUUUGUGAUUAAUCUUAAGUCGUAACAAGGUACGCCUACUGGAAGGUGGGCGUGGAGAACCUCCUUU
rnacentral:rRNA from 1 species